GUCGUGCCACAAAAAAACACUAGUCCAAGUCUCGGAGAGAGAGAAAACUGGAGGAAGCAGGAGGGUUCAAAAAUGGUAGAAAUCCAGGAUAAAUCCCCAUCUACUGACAAAGAGACCUUGUUAGUGAACUCCACUGUUACUGGAAGUAAUAGAACUAAUCAUGACAUUGACAUGGGGAGGGUUUUUGAUAAUGAUGAUGAAAUAUACAAUUUCUACAAAGAAUAUGCUAAGAAAACUGGGUUUCCUGUACACAGAAGAACAAGAAAGAGAAAGGAUGAUGGGUGUUUAAGAUGUGUGUCUUUUGGUUGUGCAAAAAGGAGGUAAACAUCAAAGGAAAGCUGUAUGGAAAUUGGAUGUGGGGCUUAUAUUACACGUGCGACAAGGGAAUUUGAAAUGGGUGGUUUCAGUGGUUAAUUUAGAGCAUAAUCAUAAGUGUAAUCCCGAGGAUGUUCAGUUUUAUAAGUGUUCUGAAGCAGUUUGUAGCAGUGCGUAAAAACAAAGGCGGAUUGAUCUUAUGGUGGAGGGUCCAUUGGGAAGAAGAAGGCGAAGACAGCAGUUCAAAAUGACGGUGGAGGAUGUGUGGAAAUGGUUGCUGAGUGAAAUGCAAUUGGUGAAGGAAGACGUCUACCAUGAUUUGUGUACUAAAUUUGCAGAGCUUGCUGCUUUGGCAGCAAAUGAUGAGACUCUUUAUCACGAUAUUGUCAACUGGUUGGAUUGUAAAAAAAAGGAACUGCAACAGACAGUUAUCAAAGCUAAAUAAAGCAAAAAACUCAAUGAAGAACAACUUGGAAGAAAAUGUAGAGGAGAUGGUAGAUAAAGAUGGUGAAAGUGAAGAAGGUGAUAAAAUGUAGAGGUGUUGUUUUCAUCAAUUCAAAACUUGAUAGAAAGGUAGACAAACGGUAUCAAAUGUAGGAGCAUAAACUGGAAAGGGGUUUGGUUUUGUUUUGGAUUGUGGUGGUGGAAUCAAGAAACCUUGUCCUUCAAUGUCAUAAUGGCUUCUCCUCAGACAAGGAAUACUUGUACUUGUAUGGGGUUUCCUCCAUUGAGCAGUGGAAGGUCAAAACACGCAUUCAUCAGUAACUUUGCUAGGGAUGCUAUGCGAGAGAAAAAGAUUGGACACAUUACAUGAGUAAUGCUGUUAGCUGUGGGCAGUGUUUCUCAGAUCGUACAAGUGCUUUGUUGACAGUGCAGACUGUUAUUCCGGAACUGGCGUCCUUGGAUUUAGGGGGUGAAAGAUUUAAGCUGCAUCCUCCACAAUAUUUUGUAGCGACAAAUCUAGAUUUGCAAAAUGGAGUAGUUGAAGGAAACCAUACGAGUUGCUGACGAUUUGAAGAUGGUUGCUGUCAGAGAGUACGAAAUAAUCAAGGGGCGCCGUUGGUGCUCUUAUACUACAAGGAGGACUACUUUUGAUGGUGUGUUGGGCGCUGGCUUGCUGAAAUCAAAAUUUCUUUUCAGGAACGUGUUUAUUGGGUUAACUUCUUUGUCUACUACGCGAGUUCCAUUUGAAUUGAAGCCUAAACACUCUGCAAGAAAGAUAAUGACAUUGGUUCCUGUCUGUAUGCAAAGGCGUUCCAGCAAAAUUGCUGGUAGGAAGGUAUGUUUUUGCACAUUCUUAACACCCACAGUUUUUCUUUACUAUUAUACUUGCAUUUCAAUGACAAUUACAAACUCAUAACAUAUGUGAGCUUAAUACUUAGUUACCUUAGAAUUUUCUACUUUCACUUUCAGUCACUGAUAUCCAUUUUUCAGUUCGAGAAGAUAUGUAAUACCGUUUUAUUGAUUGAUGUAAAUUGGAAUUUUCUGAAUUAGAAUGAACAUGCAUUUGCGGAUUUGGGAAUGACUAUGUGUUGUUUCCAUAACUCUGUUAUGAACAUAUAUGGUUCACUUUGAAUCCUUGGAUCUAACUUUUAUAUCCAGGUUUGCUCAAUGCUAUGAGAUAGUGACAGAGGAAGUUUGUGGGUCAAAUUCUUCAAUAUCACUCUAUUUAAAAUUAUUUGAUCUGUAGUGUUGCUAUUCUAUUUUAUUUCGUUUACAGCAAUGCGGGAUAAAUGGCUGAGUUACUGGCGGAGAGCCAGAAACUUGGACCAUUUAUUCAAGUUCUAUGGUUCUUUGCAACAGUCAAACCGUUGUGUUUAUGUAUUACUUACUCAAGGUAGUUAUUAUUUUUUGCAUUGCUGUUGUUGCUCUUUUAGCACCUAGAUAUAGUAAAAGUUGGUAAGUGGCUAGAUAAAAGCCGCCACAUAUUAA